rnacentral:rRNA from 1 species
UACGGGGGGAGCAACCGUUGUUCGGAAUCACUGGGCGUAAAGGGAGCGUAGGCGGCCAUGUAAGUGAGGUGUUAAAUCCCCCGGCUCAACCGGGGACCUGCACCUCAUACUGCACGGCUUGAGUACAUCAGAGGAGACUGGAAUUCCCGGUGUAGCGGUGAAAUGCGCAGAUAUCAGGAGGAACACCGGUGGCGAAGGCGGCACUCUGGGCCGGUACUGACGCUGAGGAGCGAAAGCGUGGGGAGCGAACAGG